AGCGAACGCUGGCGGCAGGCCUAACACAUGCAAGUCGAGCGCCCCGCAAGGGGAGCGGCAGACGGGAGGGUAACACGUGGGAACGUGCCCUUUGGUUCGGAACAACCCAGGGAAACUUGGGCUAAUACCGGAUAAGUCCGUAAGGAGAAAGAUUUAUCGCCAAAGGAGCGGCCCGCGUCUGAUUAGCUAGUUGGUGAGGUAACGGCUCACCAAGGCAACGAUCAGUAGCUGGUCUGAGAGGAUGAUCAGCCUCACUGGGACUGAGACACGGCCCAGACUCCUACGGGAGGCAGCAGUGGGGAAUAUUGGACAAUGGGCGCAAGCCUGAUCCAGCCAUGUCGCGUGGGUGAUGAAGGCCCUAGGGUUGUAAAGCCCUUUCGGCGGGGAAGAUAAUGACGGUACCCGCAGAAGAAGCCCCGGCUAACUUCGUGCCAGCAGCCGCCGUAAGAC
rnacentral:rRNA from 1 species